UACAGAGGUCUCAAGCGUUGUUCGGAUUCAUUGGGCGUAAAGGGUGUGUAGGUGGCGCCGUAAGUCGGGUGUGAAAUUUCGGAGCUUAACUCCGAAACUGCAUUCGAUACUGCGGUGCUUGAGGACUGGAGAGGAGACUGGAAUUCAUGGUGUAGCAGUGAAAUGCGUAGAGAUCAUGAGGAAGACCAGUGGCGAAGGCGGGUCUCUGGGCCACUACUGACGCUGAGAAGCGAAAGCAUGGGGAGCGAACAGG
rnacentral:rRNA from 1 species